UGAGGAAUAUCGGGCAAUGCCCGAAAGGGUGACCCAGCAACGCCGCGUGGAGGAUGAAGGUCGUAAGAUUGUAAACUCCUGUUAGAGGGGAAGAAUAACUAAGUUUGGAGCUUAGUAUGACUGUACCCUCAGAGAAAGCCCCGGCUAACUACGUGCCAGCAGCCGCGGUAAUACGUAGGGGGCAAGCGUUGUCCGGAUUUACUGGGUGUAAAGGGCGCGCAGGCGGAAUGGAAAGUCAGUGGUGAAAUCCUACAGCUUAACUGUAGAACUGCCUUUGAUACUUUCAUUCUUGAGUUCGGGAGAGAGAGACGGAAUUCCAGGUGUAGUGGUGAAAUACGUAGAUAUCUGGAAGAACACCAGUUGCGAAGGCGGUCUCUUGGUCCGAUACUGACGCUGAGGCGCGAAAGCGUGGGGA
rnacentral:rRNA from 1 species